rnacentral:rRNA from 1 species
UACGGGGGGGGCAAGCGUUGUUCGGAAUUACUGGGCGUAAAGGGCGCGUAGGCGGCGUGACAAGUCACUUGUGAAAUCUCUGGGCUUAACCCAGAACGGCCAAGUGAAACUGUUGUGCUAGAGUGCAGAAGGGGCAAUCGGAAUUCUCGGUGUAGCGGUGAAAUGCGUAGAUAUCGAGAGGAACACCAGAGGUGAAGACGGGUUGCUGGGCUGACACUGACGCUGAGGAGCGAAAGCGUGGGGAGCGAACAGG